rnacentral:rRNA from 1 species
AGAGUUUGAUCAUGGCUCAGGAUGAACGCUAGCUACAGGCUUAACACAUGCAAGUCGAGGGGAAACGACAUCGAAAGCUUGCUUUUGAUGGGCGUCGACCGGCGCACGGGUGAGUAACGCGUAUCCAACCUGCCCAUCACUUGGGGAUAACCUUGCGAAAGUAAGACUAAUACCCAAUGACGUCUCUAGAAGACAUCUGAAAGAGAUUAAAGAUUUAUCGGUGAUGGAUGGGGAUGCGUCUGAUUAGCUUGUUGGCGGGUAACGCCACAAGGCGACGAUCAGUAGGGGUUCUGAGAGGAAGGUCCCCCANAUUGGAACUGAGACACGGUCCAAACUCCUACGAGAGGCA